GAACUGCGAUAAGUAAUGUGAAUUGCAGAAUUCAGUGAAUCAUCGAGUCUUUGAACGCACAUUGCGCCCCCUUGCAUUCCGGGGGGCAUGCCUGUCCGAGCGUCAUUGCUGCCCUUCAAGCCCGGCUUGUGUGUUGGGUCGUCGUCCCCUCCGGGGGACGGGCCCGAAAGGCAGCGGCGGCACCGCGUCCGGUCCUCGAGCGUAUGGGGCUUUGUCACCCGCUCGAUAAGGACCGGCCGGGCGCCAGCCGGCGUCUCCAACCUUUUUUUCUCAGGUUGACCUCGGAUCAGGUAGGGAUACCCGCUGAACUUAAGC
rnacentral:misc_RNA from 1 species